rnacentral:tRNA from 1 species
UGGGCUGUCGCCAAGCGGUAAGGCAACGCACUUUGACUGCGUCAUGCGAAGGUUCGAAUCCUUCCAGCCCAACCA